CUGGAAGCAUAGCUUCUCCUCUGAAAUGGGCUUUUAAAAUCUUGUCUUGAAUAAAGACCGCCCUCUUCUUGCAAGGUUCCAGUCUCUUCUACAAUAACCACCAAUGGUUUGUUCAAGCUUUCAACAUUUCCAGUGAUGUCCAUCCUCCCAA